GGGUUGUGAGGUUAAGCGACUAAGCGUACACGGUGGAUGCCUAGGCAGUCAGAGGCGAUGAAGGGCGUGCUAAUCUGCGAAAAGCGUCGGUAAGGUGAUAUGAACCGUUAUAACCGACGAUACCCGAAUGGGGAAACCCAGUGCAAUUCGUUGCACUAUUGCAUGGUGAAUACAUAGCCAUGCAAGGCGAACCGGGGGAACUGAAACAUCUAAGUACCCCGAGGAAAAGAAAUCAACCGAGAUUCCCCCAGUAGCGGCGAGCGAACGGGGAGGAGCCCAGAACCUGAAUCAGCGUAUGUGUUAGUGGAAGCGUCUGGAAAGUCGCACGGUACAGGGUGAUAGUCCCGUACACAAAAAUGCAUAUGUUGUGAGUUCGAUGAGUAGGGCGGGACACGUGACAUCCUGUCUGAAUAUGGGGGGACCAUCCUCCAAGGCUAAAUACUCCUGACUGACCGAUAGUGAACCAGUACCAUGAGGGAAAGGCGAAAAGAACCCCGGCGAGGGGAGUGAAACAGAACCUGAAACCGUGUACGUACAAGCAGUGGGAGCACCUUCGUGGUGUGACUGCGUACCUUUUGUAUAAUGGGUCAGCGACUUAUAUUUUGUAGCAAGGUUAACCGAAUAGGGGAGCCGUAGGGAAACCGAGUCUUAACUGGGCGAAUAGUUGCAAGGUAUAGACCCGAAACCCGGUGAUCUAGCCAUGGGCAGGUUGAAGGUUGGGUAACACUAACUGGAGGACCGAACCGACUAAUGUUGAAAAAUUAGCGGAUGACUUGUGGCUGGGGGUGAAAGGCCAAUCAAACCGGGAGAUAGCUGGUUCUCCCCGAAAGCUAUUUAGGUAGCGCCUCGUGAACUCAUCUUCGGGGGUAGAGCACUGUUUCGGCUAGGGGGUCAUCCCGACUUACCAAACCGAUGCAAACUCCGAAUACCGAAGAAUGUUAUCACGGGAGACACACGGCGGGUGCUAACGUCCGUCGUGAAGAGGGAAACAACCCAGACCGCCAGCUAAGGUCCCAAAGUCAUGGUUAAGUGGGAAACGAUGUGGGAAGGCACAGACAGCCAGGAUGUUGGCUUAGAAGCAGCCAUCAUUUAAAGAAAGCGUAAUAGCUCACUGGUCGAGUCGGCCUGCGCGGAAGAUGUAACGGGGCUAAACCAUGCACCGAAGCUGCGGCAGCGAACGUAUCACUUAAAACGCUUAACGUGACGGCAAAGCCGGCAUGUUCAAGCCACACUAAACGUUGAGUUGGCCGAUGUGCUGACAAACGAACAGGCGUUUUAAGGAUACGUUCGUUGGGUAGGGGAGCGUUCUGUAAGCCGUUGAAGGUGGUCUGUGAGGGCUGCUGGAGGUAUCAGAAGUGCGAAUGCUGACAUAAGUAACGAUAAUGCGGGUGAAAAACCCGCACGCCGGAAGACCAAGGGUUCCUGUCCAACGUUAAUCGGGGCAGGGUGAGUCGACCCCUAAGGCGAGGCUGAAAAGCGUAGUCGAUGGGAAACAGGUUAAUAUUCCUGUACUUGGUGUUACUGCGAAGGGGGGACGGAGAAGGCUAGGCUAGCCGGGCGACGGUUGUCCCGGUUUAAGCAUGUAGGCGGAGUGACCAGGUAAAUCCGGUUGCUUAUCAACGCUGAGGUGUGAUGACGAUGCACUACGGUGCAGAAGUAGUUGAUGCCAUGCUUCCAGGAAAAGCCUCUAAGCAUCAGGUAACAUGAAAUCGUACCCCAAACCGACACAGGUGGUCAGGUAGAGAAUACUCAGGCGCUUGAGAGAACUCGGGUGAAGGAACUAGGCAAAAUGGUGCCGUAACUUCGGGAGAAGGCACGCUGGCAUUAGGUAAAGGGACUUGCUCCCGGCGCCGAAGCCAGUCGCAGAUACCAGCUGGCUGCAACUGUUUAAUAAAAACACAGCACUGUGCAAACACGAAAGUGGACGUAUACGGUGUGACGCCUGCCCGGUGCUGGAAGGUUAAUUGAUGGGGUCAGCCGCAAGGCGAAGCUCUUGAUCGAAGCCCCAGUAAACGGCGGCCGUAACUAUAACGGUCCUAAGGUAGCGAAAUUCCUUGUCGGGUAAGUUCCGACCUGCACGAAUGGCGUAAUGAUGGCCAGGCUGUCUCCACCCGAGACUCAGUGAAAUUGAACUCGCUGUGAAGAUGCAGUGUACCCGCGGCAAGACGGAAAGACCCCGUGAACCUUUACUAUAGCUUGACACUGAACAUUGAGCCUUGAUGUGUAGGAUAGGUGGGAGGCAUAGAAGUGUGGACGCCAGUCUGCAUGGAGCCAACCUUGAAAUACCACCCUUUAAUGUUUGAUGUUCUAACUCGGCCCCGUAAUCCGGGGUGAGGACAGUGUCUGGUGGGUAGUUUGACUGGGGCGGUCUCCUCCCAAAGAGUAACGGAGGAGCACGAAGGUUAGCUAAUCACGGUCGGACAUCGUGAGGUUAGUGCAAAGGCAUAAGCUAGCUUGACUGCGAGAGUGACGGCUCGAGCAGGUACGAAAGUAGGUCUUAGUGAUCCGGUGGUUCUGAAUGGAAGGGCCAUCGCUCAACGGAUAAAAGGUACUCCGGGGAUAACAGGCUGAUACCGCCCAAGAGUUCAUAUCGACGGCGGUGUUUGGCACCUCGAUGUCGGCUCAUCACAUCCUGGGGCUGAAGUAGGUCCCAAGGGUAUGGCUGUUCGCCAUUUAAAGUGGUACGCGAGCUGGGUUUAGAACGUCGUGAGACAGUUCGGUCCCUAUCUGCCGUGGGCGUUGGAAGAUUGAGAGGGGCUGCUCCUAGUACGAGAGGACCGGAGUGGACGAAUCACUGGUGUUCGGGUUGUCAUGCCAAUGGCAUUGCCCGGUAGCUAAAUUCGGAAGAGAUAACCGCUGAAAGCAUCUAAGCGGGAAACUUGCCUCGAGAUGAGUCUUCCCUGGGGCUUUAAGCCCCCUGAAGGAACGUUAAAGACGAUGACGUUGAUAGGCUGGGUGUGUAAGUGCAGCGAUGCAUUGAGCUAACCAGUACUAAUGAACCGUGAGGCUUAACCUUACAACACCAAAGGUGUUUUG
rnacentral:rRNA from 1 species